rnacentral:rRNA from 2 species
GUGCGAGACCGAUAGCGAACAAGUACCGUGAGGGAAAGAUGAAAAGAACUUUGAAAAGAGAGUUAAAGAGUACCUGAAACUGCUGAAAGGGAAGCGAAUCGUAUCCAGUGUCUAUAAUCUGCGGCAUAUUUCAUUGGCGGCGGUGCGCGUGCUUUUGCGUCGGAAGCGGCUUUUGUUGCUCUGUGCUUUUGCUGUGCGUGGUGUUGCCGGUGCCCUGUGUUGCGGUGGGACGUCAGAGUCAGUUUGUAUGCUGCGGGAAAUGGCCGCCGAGGAGGUAGGUCAGGACUUCGGUCUUGGCUGUUAUAUCUUGGUGGUUUGUUGUCGUGGUUGGGACUGAGGUGCCUACAAUGUGCUUUUGAGUGUGCCGGGUUCUCAUUUGGUGGACUGUUUGGAUAGCUUGCUAUGCUUGUGGUUUUUUCAUCGAGUGAUUGAGUCUGGUGGUAACUUGUUGCUGUUCGGGACUUUGA